AUUUAACGCUGGCGGCAGGCCUAACACAUGCAAGUCGAGCGAGCGGCGGACGGGUGAGUAAUGUCUGGGAAACUGCCUGAUGGAGGGGGAUAACUACUGGAGACGGUAUCUAAUACCGCAUACCAUCAGAUGUGCCCAGAUGGGAUUAGCUAGUAGGUGGGGUAAUGGCUCACCUAGGCGACGAUCCCUAGCUGGUCUGAGAGGAUGAGCAGCCACACGGGAACUGAGACACGGUCCAGACUCCUACGGGAGGCAGCAGUGGGGAAUAUUGGACAAUGGGCGAAAGCCUGAGUAAGCCAUGCCGCGUGUGUGAAGAAGGCCUUCGGGUUGUAAAGCACUUUAAGCGGGGAGGCGUUAUCCGCAGAAGAAGCACCGGCUAACUCCGUGCCAGCAGCCGCGGUAAUUC
rnacentral:rRNA from 1 species